rnacentral:rRNA from 1 species
GACGAACGCUGGCGGCGUGCUUAACACAUGCAAGUCGAACGGAAAGGCCCUGCUUUUGUGGGGUGCUCGAGUGGCGAACGGGUGAGUAACACGUGAGUAACCUGCCCUUGACUUUGGGAUAACUUCAGGAAACUGGGGCUAAUACCGGAUAGGAGCUCCUGCUGCAUGGUGGGGGUUGGAAAGUUUCGGUGGUGGGGGAUGGACUCGCGGCUUAUCAGCUUGUUGGUGGGGUAGUGGCUUACCAAGGCUUUGACGGGUAGCCGGCCUGAGAGGGUGACCGGCCCCAUUGGGACUGAGAUACGGCCCAGACUCCUACGGGAGGCAGCAGUGGGGAAUAUUGCACAAUGGGCGGAAGCCUGCUGCAGCAACGCCGCGUGCGGGAUGACGGCCUUCGGGUUGUAAACCGCUUUCGCCUGUGACGAAGCGUGAGUGACGGUAAUGGGUAAAGAAGCACCGGCUAACUACGUG